UACGUAGGGAGCAAGCGUUGUCCGGAAUCAUUGGGCGUAAGGAGCGCGUAGGCGGCCCUGUAAGUCCGUUCUGAAAGUCGGAGGCUCAACCUCCGAAAGCGGAUGGAUACUGCAGGGCUAGAGUCCGGAAGAGGCGAGUGGAAUUCCUGGUGUAGCGGUGGAAUGCGCAGAUAUCAGGAGGAACACCAACGGCGAAGGCAGCUCGCUGGGACGGUACUGACGCUGAGGCGCGAAAGCGUGGGGAGCGAACAGG
rnacentral:rRNA from 1 species